UACGUAGGGUGCGAGCGUUGUCCGGAAUUAUUGGGCGUAAAGAGCUCGUAGGCGGUGUGUCACGUCGGCCGUGAAAACCUGCAGCUUAACUGUGGGCGUGCGGUCGAUACGGGCAUCACUGGAGUUCGGCAGGGGAGACUGGAAUUCCUGGUGUAGCGGUGAAAUGCGCAGAUAUCAGGAGGAACACCGGUGGCGAAGGCGGGUCUCUGGGCCGAUACUGACGCUGGAGGAGCGAAAGCCGUGGGGGAGCGAACAGG
rnacentral:rRNA from 1 species